UGGGGAAUUUUGGACAAUGGGGGAAACCCUGAUCCAGCCAUCCCGCGUGUGCGAUGAAGGCCUUCGGGUUGUAAAGCACUUUUGGCAGGAAAGAAACGUCGCGGGUUAAUACCCCGCGAAACUGACGGUACCUGCAGAAUAAGCACCGGCUAACUACGUGCCAGCAGCCGCGGUAAUACGUAGGGUGCAAGCGUUAAUCGGAAUUACUGGGCGUAAAGCGUGCGCAGGCGGUUCGGAAAGAAAGAUGUGAAAUCCCAGAGCUUAACUUUGGAACUGCAUUUUUAACUACCGGGCUAGAGUGUGUCAGAGGGAGGUGGAAUUCCGCGUGUAGCAGUGAAAUGCGUAGAUAUGCGGAGGAACACCGAUGGCGAAGGCAGCCUCCUGGGAUAACACUGACGCUCAUGCACGAAAGCGUGGGGAGCAAACAGGAUUAGAUACCCUGGUAGUCCACGCCCUAAACGAUGUCAACUAGCUGUUGGGGGCCUUCGGGCCUUGGUAGCGCAGCUAACGCGUGAAGUUGACCGCCUGGGGAGUACGGUCGCAAGAUUAAAACUCAAAUGAAUUGACGGGGGUCAUAGCUGUUUUCCU
rnacentral:rRNA from 1 species